rnacentral:rRNA from 1 species
UGGAUCCAGACUUUGAUCCUGGCUCAGGAUGAACGCUAGCGGCAGGCUUAACACAUGCAAGUCGAGGGGCAGCGGGGAGAGUGCUUGCACUCUCUGCCGGCGACCGGCGCACGGGUGAGUAACACGUAUGCAACCUGCCCUUGUCAGGGGGACAACCCGGCGAAAGCCGGGCUAAUCCCGCGUAUAUCCCCCGGGGGCAUCCCCGGGGGAGGAAAGGUUUCGGCCGGACAAGGAUGGGCAUGCGGCGCAUUAGGUAGUCGGGGGUGUAACGGACCACCGAGCCGACGAUGCGUAGGGGUUCUGAGAGGAAGGUCCCCCACACUGGUACUGAGACACGGACCAGACUCCUACGGGAGGCAGCAGUGAGGAAUAUUGGUCAAUGGGCGAGAGCCUGAACCAGCCAAGCCGCGUGAAGGAAGAAGGUGCUAAGCAUCGUAAACUUCUUUUGCCGGGGAGCAAACGCCGACAUGCGUGUCGGUCUGAGUUAACCCGGAGAAAAAGCAUCGGCUAACUCCGUGCCAGCAGCCGCGGUAAUACGGAGGAUGCGAGCGUUAUCCGGAUUUAUUGGGUUUAAAGGGUGCGCAGGCUGCGCGGUAAGUCAGCGGUGAAAGCCCGGAGCUCAACUCCGGCGAGCCGUUGAAACUGCCGUGCUUGAGACAGGUCGAGGUAUGCGGAAUGCGCAGUGUAGCGGUGAAAUGCAUAGAUAUUGCGCAGAACUCCGAUUGCGAAGGCAGCAUACCGGACCUGGUCUGACGCUCAGGCACGAAAGCGUGGGGAUCAAACAGGCUUAGAUACCCUGGUAGUCCACGCAGUAAACGAUGAAUACUGGGUGUGUGGUGCGAUUAGGCACUGCGCGCCGAAGCGAAAGCGUUAAGUAUUCCACCUGGGGAGUACGCCGGCAACGGUGCAACUCAAAUGAAUUGACGGA